UGUUUGGGCCUCACUUCGAGCGGUAUUCAACGACUAUCUCAACCGAUAUACAUACCAACCGAGUUGAUAUGUUGUUUGAAUGCCCCUUGAACUCGAGGCCCCUAGUAGUUACUCAG
rnacentral:pre_miRNA from 1 species